rnacentral:sRNA from 1 species
GCCGGGUGCGGUGGCACACGCCUGUAAUCCCAGUGGCUCCGGAGGCUGAGACAGGAAGAUCAUGAGUUCGAAGCCAGCUUCAGCAAAAGCGAGGUGCUAAGCAACUCAGUGAGAUCCUGUCUCUA